rnacentral:lncRNA from 1 species
UGAGGAAUAGAGAUCUCAAUCCUACUUAGAAACAUAAUGAUGUUUCUUAUUUUUUAUACUUGACGACUAUGAAAAUUAUUAAAAUAGUGAGAGAUACAAUUACAUAAAAGUCCUAAUCUAGUUGUGCAUGUCAUCAUGAGUUGUCCGCUUAUAUUGUGUUUUUGUUAUUGUAGAUUAACUACAUAAAUGGUAUCCUCACUAUCACUUUGAGGUAUAUUAGAUGCUAAUAAAUUGAUCAAAACAACUAUAUAGACUGGUUGAGAAAUUUAAGAAUAGUUCUCAUACAAGAGAAAGUCUCCUAUAUACUGGAUCACCUAUACCCGAUA